rnacentral:lncRNA from 1 species
GAGGCCUCCAGAGGGAAGGAAAGGAGGAAAAGGGACGGAAGAAAUGUUCACAGGAACUGCAUAUGGGCCUGCUAUUUGUGUCAAAAUGUGACUGAACUCUCUUCCAGCAGACUCUCUCUCUGUCACCCAGGCUGGAGUGCAGUGGUGCGAUCUCGGCUCACUGCAACCUCUGCCUCACGGGUUCAAACGAUGCGUAGUAUGGCAGCAAUUAAGAUGGAAGUAAUGAGGAAAAGGAUUACUCAUCAAUGGAGAUUAGAGAGAGCCAAGUGUGAAUCCCUGGAAAGCAAGAUCACCAUUCUGGUCUCUUGUGGAUAUCAAUGCUGAUCUCAGCUUCUGAUGCAUGGCAGUCAAUUAAUAAAUGAUUGUUGCCUGAAAAACUGAGCCCCAAAACAAUAUUACAAGUUUAAUAUCAGUAAACGAUUUAAUGCUUUCUAACUUGAAGAUACCAGAAGUUGCUGAGUUUUGUAUAACCCAGAGAUGGAUUUAAAUGCAGAGUGUAUGAACUUCUUCAUUCCUGAGGGAAGACUUAUGAUUUUGUGAGAAAUGCCCCAGGAAAGGGGCCGGGGAGACUGAUGGAGAAGAAGAGUUUGGGAGGGAAGCCCCAAGGACCAUCUGCCCCAUGAGAGUCACACACAGAGGGUCCUGCUCCUGCCUUUGGAAGCUGGCUUCCUGAGCUGCUGAACGUGCCAGUCCUGCUGACCCACUCUCAGAUAUCACAGGCACCCGCUGUGUCUGACAGAGACCUUUCUGCAAGUACACGUGCAGGUCUGCUCUGUAAAGGCGUUAUCAUUUGCAGAUUAUUGCACAGAGUGGCUACGAGCUGUGGUGUGAUCCUGUCACAGAGAGAGCCUGGUCAUGUUUUCAGAACAGCAGGAAACAAGUACACCUGUAAGCUUAUACUUAUCAGAUUUAAAAAUAAAACGAAAAAUCCAUGCUAUUCCAUGAAAAUCAGGCUCCAAUAAACUUAGUCACUAAUUUGUGAAGUAAACAAUCUGAUGGUAAUGCAUCAGUUGACACUUCGGCCUGGGUUUUUAGGCACAAAUGAAAGCCAGGGGCUAAAGAAUUUUUAAUUUACCAUUAUUUCCCUUGAUGGUUCAACAAAGUUCUUGUGCUAGAAAGUUUUAUAAAACUACUUUCUGAGUGUCCUGUGACAUUUCUCUGAUGAUACAAAAAGUCAAUAUUUGAUAGCUUAAAUGUCAAUAUUGACAGAAAUAUUAUUUAAAUAAAAACACAAAUAGUAAAAUAA